CUGGUGCCAGCAGCCGCGGUAAUUCCAGCUCCAAUAGCGUAUAUUUAAGUUGUUGCAGUUAAAAAGCUCGUAGUUGGAUUUCGGGUGGGUUGUAGCGGUCAGCCUUUGGUGAGUACUGCUACGGCCCACCUUUCUGCCGGGGACGUGCUCCUGGGCUUAACUGUCCGGGACACGGAAUCGGCGAGGUUACUUUGAGUAAAUUAGAGUGUUCAAAGCAAGCCUACGCUCUGAAUACAUUAGCAUGGAAUAACACGAUAGGACUCUGGCUUAUCUUGUUGGUCUGUAAGACCGGAGUAAUGAUUAAGAGGGACAGUCGGGGGCAUUCGUAUUUCAUUGUCAGAGGUGAAAUUCUUGGAUUUAUGAAAGACGAACUUCUGCGAAAGCAUUUGCCAAGGAUGUUUUCAUUAAUCAAGAACGAAAGUUGGGGGCUCGAGGACGAUUAGAUACCGUCGUAGUCUCAACCAUAAACGAUGCCGACUAGGGAUUGGCAGGUGUUUCGUUGAUGACCCUGCCAGCACCUUAUGAGAA
rnacentral:rRNA from 1 species